rnacentral:rRNA from 1 species
CAGCCGCCGCGGGAAUACGUAGGUCCCGAGCGUUGUCCGGAUUUAUUGGGCGUAAAGGGAGCGCAGGCGGUUUAGUAAGUCUGAAGUUAAAGGCAUUGGCUCAACCAAUGUAUGCUUUGGAAACUGUUAGACUUGAGUGCAAGAGGGGAGAGUGGAAUUCCAUGUGUAGCGGUGAAAUGCGUAGAUAUAUGGAGGAACACCGGUGGCGAAAGCGGCUCUCUGGCUUGUAACUGACGCUGAGGCUCGAAAGCGUGGGGCGCAAACAGGAUUAGAGACCCCUGUAGUCCCUGUCUCUUAUACA